CAGCUAAGUGUGAACGUGAUAAAGAGGAGAUGGCAUAAAGCACAUAUGAGUGGUAGGGGAGCUUAGUAUACGGGUAGAAGCAUGACCGUAAGGACAUGUGGACUGUAUAGUAGUGAGAAUGCCGGAAUGAGUAGCGAAAGUGAAGUGAGAAUCUUAACCGCCGAAUAUCUAAGGUUUCCUGGGGAAGGCUCGUCCGCCCAGGGUAAGUCGGGACCUAAGCUCAGGCCGAAAGGCGUAGGCGAUGGACAACAGGUUGAUAUUCCUGUACCACCGUUAUUCGUAUGAGAGAAGAGGGGACGCAGGGAGAUAGAGUGAUCGAGCGACAGGAAGAGCUCGACUAAGAGGAAUAGAAAGUCUGGUAGGCAAAUCCGCCGGAUGAUUCGAAGCCUUGAUGGGUAGGGAAAAUAUAGUACCGAAGCACUCGAUUCUGCACUGACAAGAAAAGCCUCUAUCGAGAAUAAAGGUGCCCGUACCGCAAACCGACACAGGUAGAUGAGGAGAGAAUCCUAAGGCGAGCGGGAGAAGCGUUGUUAAGGAACUAGGCAAAUUGACCCCGUAAGUUCGCGAGAAGGGGUGCUUGAAGCGGAGCAAUCCGUGGAGAGCCGCAGAGAAAUGGCCCAAACAACUGUUUAUCAAAAACACAGGUCUCUGCUAAAUCGAAAGAUGAAGUAUAGGGGCUGACGCCUGCCCGGUGCUGGAAGGUUACGGGAAUCUGUUAGCGCAAGCGAAGCAGUGAACUUAAGCCCCAGUAAACGGCGGCCGUAACUAUAACGGUCCUAAGGUAGCGAAAUUCCUUGUCAGGUAAGUUCUGACCCGCACGAAUGGCGUAAUGAUUUGGGCACUGUCUCGACAACGCACCCGGUGAAAUUGUAGUACUCGUGAAGAUGCGAGUUACCCGCGACAAGACGGAAAGACCCCAUGGAGCUUUACUGUAGCCUGAUACUGGGUUUCGGUAUUUUUUGUACAGGAUAGGUGGGAGGCAUAGAAGCUAGCACGCUAGUGUUAGUGGAGCCGCUGUUGGGAUACCACUCUAAGAAUGCUGGAACUCUAACCAGAGGCCGUGAACCGGUCUUGGGACAAUGUCAGGUGGGCAGUUUGACUGGGGCGGUCGCCUCCCAAAAGGUAACGGAGGCGCCCAAAGGUUACCUCAGCACGGUUGGAAAUCGUGCAUUGAGUGCAAAGGCAUAAGGUAGCCUGACUGCGAGACAGACAAGUCGAGCAGAUACGAAAGUAGGGCUUAGUGAUCCGGCGGUAUGAGAGUGGAAUUGCCGUCGCUCAACGGAUAAAAGCUACCCUGGGGAUAACAGGCUUAUCUCCCCCAAGAGUCCACAUCGACGGGGAGGUUUGGCACCUCGAUGUCGGCUCAUCGCAUCCUGGAGCUGUAGCAGGUUCCAAGGGUUGGGCUGUUCGCCCAUUAAAGCGGUACGCGAGCUGGGUUCAGAACGUCGUGAGACAGUUCGGUCCCUAUCUGUCGUGGGCGUAGGAUAUUUGAAGGGAGCUGUCCUUAGUACGAGAGGACCGGGAUGGACAAACCUC
rnacentral:rRNA from 1 species